GAUGAACGCUAGCGGGAGGCCUAACACAUGCAAGCCGAGCGGUAUUGUUUCUUCGGAAAUGAGAGAGCGGCGUACGGGUGCGGAACACGUGUGCAACCUACCUUUAUCUGGGGGAUAGCCUUUCGAAAGGAAGAUUAAUACUCCAUAAUAUAUUGAACGGCAUCGUUUAAUAUUGAAAGCUCCGGCGGAUAGAGAUGGGCACGCGCAAGAUUAGCUAGUUGGUGAGGUAACGGCUCACCAAGGCGAUGAUCUUUAGGGGGCCUGAGAGGGUGAUCCCCCACACUGGUACUGAGACACGGACCAGACUCCUACGGGAGGCAGCAGUGAGGAAUAUUGGUCAAUGGGUGCAAGCCUGAACCAGCCAUCCCGCGUGAAGGACGACUGCCCUAUGGGUUGUAAACUUCUUUUGUAUAGGGAUAAACCUACCCUCGUGAGGGUAGCUGAAGGUACUAUACGAAUAAGCACCGGCUAACUCCGUGCCAGCAGCCGCGGUAAUACGGAGGGUGCAAGCGUUAUCCGGAUUUAUUGGGUUUAAAGGGUCCGUAGGCGGACUUAUAAGUCAGUGGUGAAAGCCUGUCGCUUAACGAUAGAACUGCCAUUGAUACUGUAAGUCUUGAGUAUAUUUGAGGUAGCUGGAAUAAGUAGUGUAGCGGUGAAAUGCAUAGAUAUUACUUAGAACACCAAUUGCGAAGGCAGGUUACCAAGAUAUAACUGACGCUGAGGGACGAAAGCGUGGGGAGCGAACAGGAUUAGAUACCCUGGUAGUCCACGCCGUAAACGAUGCUAACUCGUUUUUGGGCUUUAGGGUUCAGAGACCAAGCGAAAGUGAUAAGUUAGCCACCUGGGGAGUACGCUCGCAAGAGUGAAGCUCAAAGGAAUUGACGGGGGCCCGCACAAGCGGUGGAUUAUGUGGUUUAAUUCGAUGAUACGCGAGGAACCUUACCAAGACUUAAAUGGGAAUUGACAGCUUUAGAAAUAGAGCUUUCUUCGGACAAUUUUCAAGGUGCUGCAUGGUUGUCGUCAGCUCGUGCCGUGAGGUGUUAGGUUAAGUCCUGCAACGAGCGCAACCCCUGUCACUAGUUGCCAUCAUUCAGUUGGGGACUCUAGUGAGACUGCCUACGCAAGUAGAGAGGAAGGUGGGGAUGACGUCAAAUCAUCACGGCCCUUACGUCUUGGGCCACACACGUAAUACAAUGGCCGGUACAGAGGGCAGCUACACAGCGAUGUGAUGCAAAUCUCGAAAGCCGGUCUCAGUUCGGAUUGGAGUCUGCAACUCGACUCUAUGAAGCUGGAAUCGCUAGUAAUCGCGCAUCAGCCAUGGCGCGGUGAAUACGUUCCCGGGCCU
rnacentral:rRNA from 1 species